GGCAAAGCAAUGCGAGACGGACGGAAGUCCAUUGCAAUGACAAAAGAAUACAAGUCAAUCAAGUGAUCGACAAAAAGUAGCACCACCAAAUUAACGAAGAACAGGGAAUUCCAUGUCCUCCCUAUCUGAUAGAUUAUAGUCUCCAACUCAACCAAAACCUGGUUGUUAUCUCUUUAUCUCCCUCUAUUUUUCACCCCUUUUCCUUUGUUUUGCUCUGUUAGUUAGCAAGUAAUGAAUAGAGUUUCAAUCAGAAUCCUUAAAAACUCAAAAAGCUUUGCAUCUAAUGCACAAAACCACACACUUCCUAAGAAUUUAGUACCUUCUUCUUCUUCUUCUCUUCAAACAAUACAAAACUCCAACUCCAUCUCUCUCUCAAAUCCACUUUACAAUUUCCUCCCUGAAAAUCAAAACCCCAACAAUUUUGUCAAUCUCAUUUACUCCUCUCUUAAACGAGACAACACCCAUUUAACCCUUCUACAAAAUGAUGACAUAAAGGGUCUUAUUCAUCAUCUGGGUGCCAAUGAAAUCUCUAGGGUUUUAUUGAGAUGCCAGUCCGAUUCUGUUUCAGCUCUCACAUUCUUUAACUGGGUCAAAAAUGAUCUGGGUCUCAAACCCUCUACUCUUAACUAUUGUCUUAUUCUUCAUGUUUUAGCUUGGUCUAAAGAAUUCGAACAAGCUAUGAAAUUCUUAACUGAAUUGAUUCUGUUGGUUAAAGAUUCUGAUGAAGAUGUGUUUCAAUGUUUGUUUUUGUGUUGUCAAGACUGUAAUUGGGAUCCUAUUAUUUUUGAUUUGUUACUUAAGGCUUAUGUGAAAGUGGGUAUGAUUAAAGAAGGUUUUAGGACUUUUAUGCAGAUUUUAGAGGUUGGUUAUGUUCCUAGUGUGAUUGCUUGCAAUUAUCUUCUGAAUGGAUUGUUAAAGUCGAAUCAUAUCCAUCUUUGCUGGCAUGUUUAUGGAGAGAUGGGAAGGGUUGGUGUUAUCCCGAAUUCAUAUACAUUUAAUAUUCUGACCCAUCUAUUUUGCAAGGAUGGAGAUAUCAAUAAGAUGAAUGAUUUCUUGGAGAAGAUGGAGGAAGAGGGCUUUGAGCCAGAUAUAGUGACAUAUAAUACGCUGAUUAAUAGCUACUGUGGAAGAGGAAGAUUGAGUGAUGCGUUUUAUUUGUACAGGAUAAUGUAUAGAAGGUGUGUCUUGCCAGAUUUGGUUUCAUAUACUGCAUUAAUGAAUGGCCUUUGUAAAGAAGGAAGGGUGAGAGAGGCUCACCAACUCCUUCAUAGAAUGGUUCACAGAGGGUUGAAUCCAGAUGUUGUUUCAUAUAAUACUCUUAUUUGUGGUUAUUGCAAGGAAGGAAAGAUGCUAGAGUCUAAGUCAUUGUUGUAUGAGAUGAUAGGAAAUGGGAUUUUCCCUGAUAGUUUUACUUGUCGGGUUCUUAUUCAAGGAUACAGGAAAGAGGGUUGGUUAAUUUCCGCAUUGAAUUUGGUUGUGGAGCUUGAGAAAUUUGGUGUUUCAAUUUCACCAGAUAUUUAUGAUUAUCUAGUAGCUUCUUUAUGUGAAGAGGAUAGACCGUUUGCAGCAAAGACUCUUCUGGAAAGAAUGUCUCAGCGUGGUUAUAUACCUCAUGUGGAAAUAUAUAAUAAACUCAUCGAGUCUCUCUGCAAAAGUGAUUGUGUAGCAGAUGCAUUAUCUCUAAAAGCUGAGAUUGUUAUUGGGAACAUAAACCCAAAUCUUCUUACCUAUAAAGCCCUCAUCUGCUGCUUGUGUAGAAUGGGCAGAAGUAUAGAGGCUGAAAAGUUGAUGGAAGAAAUGCUUCAUUUUGGUUUGCAACCUGAUCCAGAAAUAUGCAGAGCCAUGAUACAUGGGUACUGCAGAGAAAAGGAUGCUGGCAAAGCAGAAUCGUUAUUGGUAUUGUUUGCCAAGGAAUUUCAAAUUUUUGAUUGUGAGAGUUAUAGUACACUUGUCAGAAUUGUUUGUGAAGAUGGUGAUGUGGCCAAGUUCAUGGAGCUGCAAGAACGGAUGCUGAAAGUUGGAUUUGCACCAAAUAGCCUAACUUGCAAAUACAUGAUUGAUGGCUUAAGGAAAAAUGUGGGGCUCGUCAAAGAAAAACUUAUUCUUGAAUGACAUAAAUGAUCAAUAUUUUGAGUGGAAGGUUACAACUGUUCGCCGGCUAGAUGAUCACUGGGAAUUUAAGACUGACAUUGCAGUUUCGCUUGGCAUUCAAUCAUAUCACAGUGUUGGCUGUGGAUUUUGGAUAGAGGAUGGAAAAAGUGGAUUGUAAGAAAUCAAGCUAACAAGUAGAAAGAUUGUCACAGAAAUCAAGCUAAUUCAUAUCCUGAAUUACAUUGAAAUUGAAGCAAGUGAACAGCAAGCAAAGCAUGCAACACCAUCAUUAGCAAGUGUAGUAGGUGCCUUUUCCACUGAAUUAUUCGGUCCAUACUUCAAAUUAGCUGAUUCACUUAUCAAGUCAAGUCAGGCCGGCAACUAUUAAGGCUCUCCCACAAAGCAGUCAUCGUAUCAGGGCUUGAGAGAGUAUUUGAUUUGUUGCUUGGUGGGCUGGGGUUGGAUGGUGGCGUAAGGUGGAGGUGGAACCCAGCCAAAACAUCCAAGCACUUAGUGUGUGCAGCGCUGCAUAGCGUAUCAUUUGGUGUGCGUGAGGGAAAUCUCCUCCAUGUUUUCCCGUGAAUUUAUUUUCCCAACAAAAUGGAAUUAUUUGUUAAAGUUACCUCGGCUAGGUAAUUAUUUUCACAUGGGUCGGAUCUCGGCCAAGUUAUUGGGCUUUCUUAGCUAAACUUUGGGGCCUAUGUUCUGAACAAUUCUAGUUAGCAAAUAGAUAUAUUCACACUGUAAAAGAUGCCCAAAGUAGCCACAGACCAUAACUCUGCAGUCUUCCUGUCGUCCAACAACAGAAACAUAUUUCUAGUUUGUAGAUCAUUUUUCACAUCAAAACGCCCCGUAUAAUUUGCAUUUGGCUUCUCUAAUAUGGUAGGUUACAAAGAGCCACGCUGUGGAUUUCAUUUUCAAUUAAUAAAUAGAUUUGAUUCAA